rnacentral:rRNA from 1 species
CCUACGGGUGGCAGCAGUGGGGAAUAUUGGGCAAUGGGCGCAAGCCUGACCCAGCAACGCCGCGUGAAGGAAGAAGGCUUUCGGGUUGUAAACUUCUUUUCUGAGGGACGAAGAAAGUGACGGUACCUCAGGAAUAAGCCACGGCUAACUACGUGCCAGCAGCCGCGGUAAUACGUAUGGUGCAAGCGUUAUCCGGAUUUACUGGGUGUAAAGGGAGCGCAGGCGGCGCGUUAAGCCUGGUGUGAAAGCCCGCGGCCCAACCGCGGGACUGCAUUGGGAACUGGCGCGCUGGAGUGCCGGAGGGGUAGGCGGAAUUCCUAGUGUAGCGGUGAAAUGCGUAGAUAUUAGGAGGAACACCAGUGGCGAAGGCGGCCUACUGGACGGUGACUGACGCUGAGGCUCGAAAGCGUGGGGAGCAAACAGGAUUAGAUACCCCUGUAGUC